rnacentral:misc_RNA from 1 species
GCAUGAUCCCAUUCUUUACUAACCGACUCGCAAACUAUGUCAGAUUACAUCGUAAUCAAGCUAAGUAUGAAGAAGAGAAUGUAUGGAGACCCGUAGGAAAGCGCGUGGCGUGGACGUACAUACUUUUAAUGAAGCUUUCUUUCCCUGGCUUGCUUUCUUUAAAAGCAGGAGAAAAGUAUAACCAUAUAGGUUGAAAGCGGGAUUUUAUCCAUUGGAGGAUAAAGUGAGUAGUUCAGGAGUGAAGGAAGGGCAAAAGCAGCAAUAUUGAAAUCUGGGAUAGCAGGUUCCACGGGUUCUAAAGCUCUAGAGCAAGUCAGUUUUGAAGCUAUCCAUAUAGAUCAAGGGAUAAUUACAGUGCUAAGUCCAUCUAGUAUGAGUUCAUAGCUAGGAAGCCAAUCUAGGCUUGGAUAAGUU